UUUAUAUAUUUGUGCUGUUUUGAGCUCUAAUACUGUUUUUACCUUCUACUUUUUUUUUCUCUUCAACUCCUGGUAUCGUUGAGCUUCAAAAAAGAAGAGUUUUCCUGCAAAGGAAGUAGAACAGCACUUUACCUGAAAAGCUGAUUUCGUAAAUGACUGAUGUAGAAGCAGGCAAGUAUAAAAGAAACUGAACCCAGGAUUUGAACUUCCAGUAGACCAAGAGAAAGAAGUUAAAACCCUUGCAAAUACAGCCAUAUCACAGGCUAAGUCAAGUCUACAUGUGCCAUUGGAUACAGCUAAGAAGAAAAUGAGCUUCAGCCACUGUGCCUUUCCUCUGUUCUCUGAAAGGGCAGAGGUUCUGGCAGACAGAACAUAGCAGAUUCAAGGGGGAGAAUUUGACAACAAUUCACAAUUCUGACUUAAUUAGACUCAUUAACAAGACCAAGCAACAUAUUGUCUGUGGGAAAAGAUUUCAGAUGAGAGAAGACUGUUAUACAAUUUAUUCAAAUCCUUCUGCCAGGAGAAAGAAACUUGACCAAAACAAGGAGGCUUCCAAGAAGUGGCUGCAUUGCUCCUAAAGCUGCUUUUGGAGAGAACAGGGUUUAUUUUUGCCAAAGAAUACAGUGCAAUGUGGAGGACAGUAGCAGCCUUCAUGUACCAAUGGGCAGUGGGGCAGUGGCUCUUGGUGCCCAUCCAAUUCUUUGGAUGUAUCAUAUAUGAAAUUGCUGUUAACAUAUAGGCAGGUGAGGUGUCAUUCUACAAGCCUAAAAUUUCUCAUGCAAGAGAGCUAAAAAUAAUGUGAAUUCACACAGCAAUGGGGUCUUUGGGUCUCUUCACUCUCCGCCUCAUGAUUGCUAAUGAAAAAUCUUCAGUGGAGAAUCUAUGAAGAAAGGAGAAGAGUAUGGAUCUAUUUAACAACUUCUGUCCUGUACUUUCCUGCCACCACCUCCAAGCUGCUGCUGUUUUUUUCUACAAUUGAAUUUGUUUCCUUAGCACUAUAAGGAAAGCGGGCAACUUUUAUAUAAUAUCAUGUACAUGGAGAACAGGAAAACAUAGUGACCAGAGUACAAAACAUUCAGAAUAUUUUUAAAAGCAAAUAUUGACUUUUUUCCCUCCUUGCUCACCAGCUGCAGAGAAUACUGCGAGAGAAACCAAUCAGAGACUCAUUCCCAAACUGUCCAGAUGAAAAAGACCCGUAGGCUACUUUGCUUAUUGCCGUAACUGUCUGGAAUUGCUUCGUGCCAUAUAUUUAAGCACUAUAUUCAGGCUAAUUUGCCAUAACUUUUCACCAGAAAGCUAUCCCAUACCAUGAUAAAUCUUCCAACCAAUCCUGUCCUUGAAAACUCAUUCCACGUUUUCAUUCCAUUUUCAUUCAGAGCCAGAGAUGCUGCCAUAUAUUUAGAGGUUGAGGACCUCAAGCAGGCAUCAGAGAAUGCUGUCCAGGCUUUCCCUCUCUGUUCCUUUGUUCUGUGGAGGAUCUGGCACUGUGAUAAAAAUUCCAGACAGGCAAGUAAAACCGAUCCAUAUGACAGGACUAUCUCCUGCUUUCAUCUCCUGGAGAUAAAGACAGCCUUUCUUACCUCUAAGUUAGGAAAGAAUUCUCUAACAAGCAUGAAAGGAGAAAUGUCUUGGAACACCGCUGGUCCUACCAUACUGAAUUAAAGAAAAGCCUUUAUUGAAUACACUGAAGAAACAGAAUUUUAAAAUAAUCAUUUCACAAGUAUGGUCUAUCCAGGUGAACAGGCCUGCUCUUGGGGCCAAGAAGACCCUGAAAUAAUUCAGACCUCAUUCUGCAGCACAGAACCCAGCACGGUCUCGUUCACCCCCAGCUCCCUCUUAGCUGUGCCUGCAAAGUGUCACUGCACAGGGCACAGUGACUUAUGAAUUGUGAAUAUGUUCAUACCUUGAUUCUGUAAAUGCUCAGCCACUUGUUUGACCUUCCCCAUGACACAUCACUUAGCCUGUUAAAAAUAAUGGAAGUUUUCUGUCAUUUACAAAAGAGCAGAUGCAGAUGUGAGAUAAAAUGAAGUUCAGAUUCAAAGCUAUUCAGAAGGUUGAAAGUUCUAGGUUGGAAGCUAUUUCGGAACUUCGUUCAGUUCGGUUUUAGCUCUGGAUUGAAAUUACAAUUCUUUGCCUUUCUCAUCUAGAUAUUUGAGAUAGCUUUAAUGUGGUUUGUCAAAUAAUUUUCAAAUAGUGCUGCCUCAAUACAGGAACUGAGUUCUGCCUUUACAACUUUUAGUCAGAACCCUUGUAAAUGUCACUAAAAAUAUUAGAAAACACUACUAUUUCCAUAAGUGAUUAUGAAGGUGUGCUGCACUGGAAAAAUAGUAGUCUUUCAGCUGUAUGCAUUAUCAGUUUUUAGCUCUGCAAAGUAAAUUCUUGGUUAUCUCUCUUUAUUCCACACAAGCAUGGUAUUAAUAGCCUGGAGCAAUCUCUGUGUGCCCUUUCAAUCAGAAAAAUGUCCUGAUUUGUAUACUUACUUAUGUAGUAUAGGCCAAGCUGAAGUGCAAAUUUAUUUCCUAAGGAAAAGAGAUUUAAUGUAAAAGGUGAUCUGCAAAAGUUUCAGUUUUACUUACCUUGGAUAAGCACCAAGAAAUGAAGCUGCUUAUUCAAGCAGGUCUCAGCUGAGAGCUGCAAAGUCAAGGAUGGCAGGGAGGUAAGCAGACAAUAUUCUGUUCUCAGAUUCCUUUCUUCAAGGUGAGGUGUAUACUAGGAUUAAAGUAGGAUUACCACAAUAACAAUCGAGCCCACACUACCAGAACCCCACUUCACAGUGCCCAGCUCAGAGCCCUCACUUCCUGUUCCCCAACAGUUCCGCGCCUCCUCCACUGAGAUUCACCUUUGCAGCCCUCCCUUUCUGAUAUCCCAAUCCCUCCAAGGUAAAACCUUCAAUUCCUCCCGCACUUCAGCUGCACACUUCGCUGCUUGUCUAGAAAACAAAACCAAAAAUGUUAAAAUAUAUAUUUACUGGUUUGUUUGAAAUCUUGGCUUUCCCAAUCUUAGUGUAAUUCCUGAUCCUUAAAAUGACUGCAAAAAAAUAGAGAGAGGACGCGGUGAGUAAACAGCAUAGUCAUCAGCUACUUGUUUGGAGUGCAGAGAGCUGCCCACGAAGUACGGUGUGCUGAGAAUACUUUCAAAGAUGAAAAAGAGGCCCAUAGAGAAAUAGCUAUUAUCUCAAGUAAUCUUCAGCCCAGGGAUGUGUUUGUGAAAUAACUUUUGGAGACCUUUGGUAAUUCAGUACCUCAGCCUCUGGUCAAGGAGGUACGAGAUCAGAAAGGAGAUGUUCAUAAGCCCUUUUGAAAUUCCAUUCUCCCAUAACAGCAGGACAUUACAAUGUAUGGUAUGUGGCAAACAAAGGAUGGAUUACUAUGUGAUGACCUAAUGAUUAUCAGAAGAGGAGAAAAAAACAUUGCACCGUCUCUGUGUAAGUUUCAUUUAUCCAUGAAAUAAUAAUUGCUUCCCUAUUUGCAUUUCCAUUAUACAGAAUAGCCUACCUUCUGACAUACCACCACAGUGGUACUGUUUUAUUUAUUUAGGCUGGAUGAUUUGCUUUUCACAGUAUGACCAGCUGGUAGAAAAAUAGGAUUCAAUAAUGCAAACAUUUCACAGUAAAUAAAUUGCAUUAAUACAACACAGUAUAAAAGCUGUGCUCAGCAGUUUUGGUAGGACAAGGUCUGCUCUAGAACAAUGUGUACAGCUUUCUUAACAGUCACUCUGACAGCUAAGUUACAUUUUUUUAAUAUGAAAUAUUAGAAGAAGAUUUCUAUAGAAUUUAUUUAGGAGUUUAUCUACUUCUCCCCAUUGAAAAGUUACAUGUUCAGUUGGCUGCUUUCAAGAAUAGCUCUGUGGCUCUUUCUGUCUCAUAUUCACUGUUGUGGGCUCCUACAUAAAAUCUUUCAGUGACUAAGGACCACAUAAGGAACAGAACUGCAUAACCAUUAACCAAACUUCACAGUCACUCCAUCCAGAGAUAAUCCACACCCACCUUUCCAAACUAACCAGCUAAAGACUCAGAAAUGUUCUUUUAGGAUUAGAUCUAUUGACUUGAUUGCCUGACAGAUUUAAGAUCCCUUGCACAGAUUCCCAGCUCCUUCGUAGGCUGACAUAGAAGAUAAAUAUUCUUUGCUUCAGUUUCAAGCUAUAAGAGAGACUGGGCCUCCUUUCCUUCUUCUUUGGUCAUCUCUGGUUCUAAGAUAGCCACAGCCUCAAUUUAAGAAGUCCUUUCUGUAGUUUGCUGAUUGAUUCCAUAGCAAACACUUUGCUUCCACAGCCUAAGCAGAACCUAUACAUGGAAUGUAUUCUAAAUCUCCAUUCAGCACUGUCACCUUUGAUAUUGAUGCACUGCUACAGAGGAGACAUAAAUAUUUGACAAUAAAUGAGACACUCGGUGUCAUGACUUUGUGCCAUAUGUCAUGUGCUACGAAUUGACACCUGACAUAAAGUGAUAUGAAUUGGCUCUGAUUUUGUUCUAAUAGUCAGUGGUGUGCCUUGUGGCAAGGGAGACUUUCCAAAAUACAGUCUUUGACACGGUACCUACCUUCUGUCUCUCAUGGUGUCUCAUGGAGUACUUUGGACUCAUGGCCCCGUGCAGUGCCGCCAGUCACUUCUUGUAUUUUGCUGACAAUCUGUGCCAAAAUCCUGCUAUUCAGUAAGGAUCCAUCAGAGAAAGACAGCGCAUUAUUUUACUGGCACAGAAACUUGUUUGGACACCGUAAGACAAUAUUUUAUAUAUUGCUUAACAAAUUAUUUUAGUGUUUUGUUUGAGCCUGAUAGAAACACUGGACUCUUUUGGUAUGAAUGGAAUAUUGUUAAAGGAAAGAAUACAGAGAGGUCACAUCCUUCUUAGUUUGAAGACAAACCAAAAAAGAAAACGCCUGCUUUUAAUGCUGCCCAUUGUCCUGUUUCUCCUUGAUUCUUUUGCAACAACUGCAAUCUUUGUUUUCUGAUCCAGCAUUGAAGAAAAAGAAGAGCCUCUUGCAUAUGGUUGUAUUUCUUCAGCAAUUACUUGACUGUUUUUAUAUUUGUAAAGGUAUCUUACAGACUUAACAAGAAAGAAUAAAAGCAAUCAUGUCUUUAAUUCUUUGAAUCUGUCAGCACUGCAGCUCAGUAGUUUAGGACUUGCCAUUCUUAUCUCUGAACGUGUCUCACCAGUGUUACUGCAAGCCGUGGGUCUGUGAGUAGUAAAAUUACAGAAGAAGGUAAGGUGAGAUUCUAAGCCUUUAUGGCCUUUGACAGGAAAUACCAUGUACACAUACUUACUGUUAGAUGUUUGUCCCAUCUGUCACUACUGUACUGUCAGUGUUUUAGCUACAAUGGAUAUAUACACUGUCCCAAAAAGAAGGUGUAGGUAUUAAUACCUCAUGUGUAUGUAUUACAGUAUUUUGUUCUAGGGUUUGUGCUGAAGUCUUUUUUCCUAUAUAAUACUUGGCACAAUGUAACCAAUAAA